CUCUGUCAUAUAAGUUAUCUCCUUCCAUCCAUAGUACUGCUUUACAGGCUGAAAUAAAAAGUAGAUAAAAAGAGUUGGUACCAUUAGAUGAACCCUCUCAAUCUCUUUUUUCCUGAGGAAAGGGAACUGGGGAAAGAAGGUCAUCGUUGUUUAUUUUAGAAGUUAUUAAACCCUUGUUUUAUUUGUGUUCAGUACAGAUUACUGAGACUUAAAAGUUUGGAAGCCUGGAAAGAAAAGAAGGAGCCUGGAAAAAUACAGGCAAGAAAGAGAGAAGAAAUGAAGUAAAACAGGGCAGAAUACACUAAGAAGAUGAGGACAGAGAUGGAAAAAGAACUGUUUUACAUUUCAUUGACAAGUUGUCAUUCAGUUCCUGGGAUGAAUGGUAGCAUGGUGCCAGUUUAACAGGAGAACACUACCCUCAAGAAAUGGUUCUUUUCCAAGAAUGGCAGAAAAGAAUUUUGUACUGUCUGCGAUGGCUUUUCUCUACCUCAGCAUACAGUUAGCUAAAUUUGUCUGCUCUUAAACUCAGUAAUAAAAAAAUCAAAGAGGUUGAAAAGUGCA
rnacentral:lncRNA from 1 species